GUUCCUACGGGAGGCAGCAGUAGGGAAUAUUGCACAAUGGGGGAAACCCUGAUGCAGCGACGCCGCGUGGAGGAAGAAGGUCUUCGGAUUGUAAACUCCUGUCCUUGGGGACGAUAAUGACGGUACCCAAGGAGGAAGCACCGGCUAACUACGUGCCAGCAGCCGCGGUAAAACGUAGGGUGCAAGCGUUGUCCGGAUUUACUGGGUGUAAAGGGCGUGCAGCCGGGCUGACAAGUCAGAGGUGAAAUCCCGCGGCUCAACCGCGGAACUGCAUUUGAAACUAUCAGUCUUGAGUACAGGAGAGG
rnacentral:rRNA from 1 species